GACGAACGCUGGCGGCGUGCUUAACACAUGCAAGUCGAACGAUGAAGCCGGAGCUUGCUCCGGUGGAUUAGUGGCGAACGGGUGAGUAACACGUGAGCAAUCUGCCCUUGACUCUGGGAUAACUGCGGGAAACUGUAGCUAAUACCGGAUACGACACCUUGGGGCAUCCCAGGGUGUGGAAAGAAUUUCGGUCAAGGAUGAGCUCGCGGCCUAUCAGCUAGUUGGUGAGGUAAUGGCUCACCAAGGCGACGACGGGUAGCCGGCCUGAGAGGGUGACCGGCCACACGGGAACUGAGACACGGUCCAGACUCCUACGGGAGGCAGCAGUGGGGAAUAUUGCACAAUGGGCGAAAGCCUGAUGCAGCAACGCCGCGUGAGGGAUGAAGGCCAUCGGGUUGUAAACCUCUUUUAGCAGGGAAGAAGCGAAAGUGACGGUACCUGCAGAAAAAGCACCGGCUAACUACGUGCCAGCAGCCGCCGUAA
rnacentral:rRNA from 1 species